AGAGGUAGACAGGCGGCAGACCUAUCAGGGACAAGGACCUUGAGGACAGCUCCCCUACCCCGCCUCAGCCCCCAGGAGGAGAGCAGUCGGAGAACGCCGGGCUCCUCGCCUCCCGGGCAGUGUGAGAAAGUAGUCUUCACCUGCCAGACCAGGUUCGCCUACCCACCUCGACGGGCUCCAUCCCAUCCACCGCCCCCGUGCUUGCGCUCCCUUCGCUCCUAGACUGUGGCUAUCCCUGUCACCCCCAGGCAGGCACCCGAGGAGCACUGCCACCUGGCGCCAGCACCCGAGGCCACCACAGCCCCAAGGAGGACUCCAGUCCCCUGGGAAGAGAAGCCAGGAGCAGACCAGCCACAGAAGAAAAGUGGACCUGCCAGCACCCUAGCCAGGAUCCAAGCUGCAUAUCGCGGCCAAACGUCCCCUGAGUGUGUGGGGGCCCGCAGGAGGGUCCCACUCCAGCAGGCCCCCAGGCCACCUUGUUGAGCCCCCACUGGAACCCGCUGGGGGCAGGCGCUGCCAUGGAGAAGCACAAAGAACCCUACUGCCCAGGGACAAGGACUGGCUCCACCUCCUAUAGGACAAGCUCCCAAGGACAAAGAAACCGGAGCAGGACGAGAUCUG